ACCGGAAUUGCGUUGAUUUUUGAUGUGGCAACAAUUCAUUUUGGCUCAUUAGUCGUGUAGCAUGCUGCCGGUGCUGCUGCUGCUGCUGCUGCUGCUGCUGCUGCUGCUGCUGCUGCUGCUGCUGCUGCUGCUGCUGCUGCUGCUGCUGCUAUCCAU
rnacentral:sRNA from 1 species